GAUCCUGGCUCAGGAUAAACGCUAGCGGCAGGCCUAACACAUGCAAGUCGAGGGGCAGCACGUUAAGAUAGCGAUAUCUUUUGGUGGCGACCGGCGCACGGGUGCGUAACGCGUAUGCAACCUACCUUUUACAGGGGGAUAAUCCGAAGAAAUUUGGUCUAAUACCCCAUAAUAUCGAGAGAGGCAUCCUAUUUGGUUAAAAGAUUUAUUGGUAAGAGAUGGGCAUGCGUUGUAUUAGAUAGUUGGUGAGGUAACGGCUCACCAAGGCUACGAUACAUAGGGGGACUGAGAGGUUAUCCCCCCACACUGGUACUGAGACACGGACCAGACUCCUACGGGAGGCAGCAGUGAGGAAUAUUGGUCAAUGGACGCAAGUCUGAACCAGCCAUGCCGCGUGCAGGAAGACGGCUCUAUGAGUUGUAAACUGCUUUUGUACGAGGGUAAUGACGCCUACGUGUAGGCGUUUGAAAGUAUCGUACGAAUAAGGAUCGGCUAACUCCGUGCCAGCAGCCGCGGUAAUACGGAGGAUCCAAGCGUUAUCCGGAUUUAUUGGGUUUAAAGGGUGCGUAGGCGGUUUGAUAAGUUAGAGGUGAAAGCUCGAUGCUCAACAUUGAAAAUGCCUCUGAUACUGUCGGACUGGAGUAUAGUUGCGGAAGGCGGAAUGUGUGGUGUAGCGGUGAAAUGCUUAGAUAUCACACAGAACACCGAUUGCGAAGGCAGCUUUCCAAGCUAUUACUGACGCUGAUGCACGAAAGCGUGGGUAUCGAACAGGAUUAGAUACCCUGGUAGUCCACGCUGUAAACGAUGAUAACUCGUUGCCGGCGAUAUACUGUCGGUGACUUAGCGAAAGCGUUAAGUUAUCCACCUGGGGAGUACGUUCGCAAGAAUGAAACUCAAAGGAAUUGACGGGGGCCCGCACAAGCGGAGGAACAUGUGGUUUAAUUCGAUGAUACGCGAGGAACCUUACCCGGGCUCGAACGGCAUAUGACGUUAUGAGAGAUCAUAACUCUAG
rnacentral:rRNA from 1 species